AUGUAAAUCGGAUAGCAGGUAUCCAGAUAAACUUAUGGGAGCAAAAUUCAUCCCAUUUCCGAAGCCAAAGUCUGAUUUUGAGAAAUGUUUACGAUGGAUAUCAUGCUGUCGGAGACCACAUGCCCAGCUUAAUGUUGACAAAAUUACGAAGCAUACAUAUGUGUGUUCUAAGCAUUUCAUUUCAUUGGAUUGCCCUUCAGAUGAAUACCCAGAUCCUUGUGAUGCCCAGACUGGUGAACUGCACAGAGCAAGGCGAAAGAUCAUAUACUUGUCUCAACAGUCAAAAUCAGAUGAUUUAAACAGCAAGACCAGUAGUACCAGUACUGAUGAUUCACAAUAUUCCCAAGCAAUGGAAUGCUGUUUAACAACACAGACAACUUCAAAUCCUGUCAUAGAUUCCUCAUGCCAAACAGAAGAAGAAUUAUUUUCAUCUAUGGAUGUGCUUUCAUGGGUUGCACAAGUUAGAAAACUGGAGGAAGAAAAUGACAGGUUGCAACAGGAAAUCAAACAGAGAGGGAAAGUUUCUGAUGCUCCUUGCCAAACAGAGAGAGAUACAAUUUUCACUGCUGAAGAAGUUUCAAAGUCAAAGAUCAAAAACUUGUUUGAAUUUUACACUGGAUUAAGUUAUAAUAGAUUUCUCAUGCUUCUUGUGUUUCUCUUUCCAAGUUGUGAAAAUCCAAUCAUUUAUGAAGACAAAAGAAAAGAAACACAUAUUGACAAGUUUCCUUUGUCACAGCAGUUGUUUAUGUACCUGUGCAGACUAAGAAAUGCUUUAAAUGUGAAAAAUUUAGCAUUCAGAUUCAAUAUUAAGGUUCAAACUGUGUCAACAGUAAUUAAUUGGGUAGCGAAGUAAAUGUAUUUGAGAUUAGGUUCCUUAAGUUAUUGGCCCCAUAGAAAUACAAUCAUAGGAAUCAUGCCAGAAUCUUACAAAUAUGAUUUUCCAAACUGUUUAGCUAUUCUUGACUGUACCGAGCUAAAAACUGAAAAACCAUCAUCAUUGAAACAGCAAAGUCAGUGCUAUUCAGACUACAAAUCAUCCAAUAAAUUAAAAGCUCUUGUUGUUUGUGACCCAAGAGGGUCAAUUUUAUUUGUUUCAGAUUUAUUUUCUGGAAGUAUUUCUGACAAUGAUAUCAUUUAACAAUGUGGUUUUUAUAAUUAUUUAAAACAUUUGAAAGAAAUGGAGUUUAUUGCUAAUAAUGAUGCCUUAAUGGCUGACAAAGGGUUUCUUAUUGAAAAGGAGUUGGACCUCACCAGAAAAAUAGCUACUCAUAGAAUACACAUUGAACGUGCCAUCAAUCAAAAAAAGUGUUUUGAAUUAUUGAUAAGAAAAGUUCCUGUGAGCAUGUUUAAUUGUAUUAAUGCACAUUGGUUUGUAGCUGCAAUGUUGACAAAUUUCCAAGAUACUUUAGUAAAGUUUUGAAAAUG
rnacentral:misc_RNA from 1 species